UUAGGACUGCGAUCGGAAAUUGUUUAUAACAUUCUGGAAUUAAAACGUAUCUCUAUAAUCUAUAUCGAUCUGUAUUCCUCUUUCUCUCACAGCCUCACUUCUCUCUGAAUUCUUAUUAGACUCACUUAUCUGUCAAUUCUAAUUAACCCUAAAACUCAGCUUCUCCACCUCAUAAAACAUCGGAGUAAUUUCAGCCUCACUUUAACAAUCCUCUCGACUAUCUCGUUUCCUUAUCUUUUUUUCCACAUCUGACUAUCUCGUCCAUCUCUUUCUUCUGUAAAAGUAAUUCCAGAUCUGUAUAAUAUGGUUCCCAUCCUUUUUUUUUUUUGAUUGAAGAUCAAGGUUUCAGAUCAGUGUAUUACGAUUUCAAUCCUUGUUAUUUCGAUUUAAGGGUUUAUUGUUUUUCUUUUUGAAUAUUUUGCUAGUUAAUAGGAAUUUUUGGGUCCUCUUUUGCUAUAUCAAAUUAGGGAUUGAUAAUUAUUAAGUUUAUUUUCGGUUCAGAUUCAACUUUGGCAGUGAUUCCCGAGUUCAAAUUAGGGUUUAAUAAGUAUAAUCAUUUUUACUAUUGUAUGAAGAGUUGAGGAUUUAUUGCUGGGAUGCUGGAUUCGUCGAUUGGUAUCAUUUGAUUUGCGAUAAAAAUCCAUUCGUUGUUUUGCAUAGACCAUUUACAAGGAAGUUUGCUAUCCAAAUUUGAAAUUUCUAACCAGAACCAACCUUCUACAGUGGAACCUAAGAAGCCAAACUGAAAUAGAUUCAUAUAAUAAAGUCACAAUACUUGUUGUUAACAAAUAGUUCCUUCUCGGAUCUAAUGUUUGUGAAGCUGAUGAAGUCAAAAUAUUGGAGGGAAUUAAUUUAAUGGAAGAGGAAGUUGACAAUGGCGGAUAUUGUUGGAGAAUCCAUUCUGGAUUGAUACUUGUGACUCAAAGAACACUGUUGGAGUUGUAGGUUGUUCGAUGAUCUAUAUGCUGACUACAAGAAAACUGAGAAUUCUAGCUGUGUAUCUCGCGACUAUAUCGUUUAACUAUCCGACAUCAACGAGAAGAUGGGAGUCAUCCUAGUUGUUUGGGAGAAAUUGAUCGUAAAUACAUUACAAUUCAGUAUGUCAGUUCCAACUUCAUAUGUAUUUACGAAAAGAUUCUUUAAAGUGGAUAAGUAAGACUAAAAGGGAUGGGAUUUCUUAGGAGGCCACUUGUUAUCUUUCAUGACUUCCAUUAGCAUUGCUUUCCAAAAUGAUAGCUUGUUCAACCUGCUUACCAUACCGUGCUGGGUCAUCUACGGUAAGAGACUCCAAAUGAUUUCAAGGAUGCGUUUGAUGUGGCUGCUCACCAUUGUACUCGAUCUUUCAUUGCAAAAUUUGGCAAAGGAUGUGUUGUGUUUAGGUGUUGAAGUCAGGCUUAGACAAAGCUAUAAGGUGUUCUUGGUACUGAAUAAAAAGUCUUUCAUCUCUCACAGGGAUUAUGCUUUUUGUUUACAGCUAAGGCUUCGAGUAAUGGACCUGAUUAGAUCUAGCUUCUCAGUAAAUGAUGGGAUGAAUGAUGAAGUCUCGCCUUCAACUUAGUGUUGGAGCUUUCUGAUUGUCAUAGUCUGGUUGUUAAGCUUGUAAUAGGAAUAUAGGUUAAACAUUUUCAACUUAGUUUUGAAGUUUUGAGAUUUGGAACUUAAAAGUAUUUCAGAUAGUUGAAGUUGUAAAUUGAAUACACUUUUUAAUACAGAUUCGGUUGUAAAGUCCUUAUCAAUUUAGUUUUACGAUCAAUUCAAUUUUGAAGCCA